rnacentral:sRNA from 1 species
AUGAGUGGACUAGCAGGACAGAGAAGUAAGAAUGUCUCAGAUUCACCGUUGUUUAUGAGAAGGGUAGCUCUAUCUAGUAGCUGGCCAGCUCCUAGAGUCGUCCUCUCAGUUGAGUGUUGAGGAAAUUCUGGAAUAUAUGAUUUAGGCGUGAGUUGAGCAAGAUGGAGAAGCAGGGCACGUGCAUUUCUAACUCAUUCGCAUAUACUGAGAUGUAUAUACUCAAUACUCUUAUUUUUCUCUGAGCUGCUAAAUUAUUACAAGUUUACAGAUAUAUAUCUCAUAUCCAGUGAUGAGUUAGUUGUUCAUGUGCCCCUCUUCCCCAUCAUGACCACUCCACCUUAUUGCUUCUAUGAAGAUUGUCACCGUAGAUCAUAACCAUGCGGACAUUCCAAUUCAUGUAUUCAGAAAAUGCUGAAUAAUUAGCUCCACUUCAGGUGAUCGUUUUCGCUGCAAUUUUCUUAAUUAUAUAAGUAUAAUAUAUAUAUAUAUAUAUAUAUAUAUAUAUAUAUAUAUAUAUAUAUGUGUGUGUGUGUGUGUCUGUAUAUAGUUAGUCAGUUAGACUAGAUAAAAAAAUAAACAAUUAGCUUGAUAUUUUUGCAUUUCCAAAUUGGAUGAAGAAAUUGCAAUGCUAAUUAAGAUUAUUAACUGUAAGGAUAAAGAGAUAAUGUGUUCUGUGCGGUGUUCAUAGGUUUGAAAUAGUGCUACAAUUAUUUUCAACAAAAUUCAUAGCAAAUUAUAUUGAACUUUAAUUUCAGUACUUUUUUAAUUUUUGUUUUUGUUUCCAAUUGCUCUCUCUCUCUCUCUCUCUCUCUCUCUCUCUCUCUCUCUCUCUCUCUCUCACUAAAAUUUCAAAUAAUACAGUAAGUAAUCUAAUAUUAUAUACUCUUUAUUCUGAUAAACACUGUUAUAUAUAUAUAUAUAUAUAGAUGCAGAGUCUGAUGCGCCUCUCAUCCGGUGAAGAAGAGGUGGGUUUCCUGGGCCCCUCAUUGGGUCGGAGCUUCCUAUCUCUCAUUCGUUCCCUCUGGAGUAAGCUUCUAAGUGAGAUGAUCUCGGCUUGUUCAUAAAUCGGCUGAUCACUCCCACUAUAUAUAUAUAUAUAUAUAUAUAUAUAUAUAUAUAUAUAUAUAUAUAUAUAUAUAUAUAUAAUCAUCCAAAGUGGUAUAGACAAAAGGGAAAUUGCUUUUUAGGUUUUCAAUUGUCCCCCUAGUAUGAGGAGGGAAGUUUUCCAAUUCUGGAAGUAAAAAAGGCUUAUGAAAAGCAAGCAAACCCCGUCAAGGUCUCACCAUAAUUGCUAUGAACAUCAUUUUUAUAACAAUGAUAUAGUUGGACAAUUUAACUGUGAUUACGAGAACUUAUUAGUCUUUUCACUUUCUCACUAAUCGAACAUUUUUUUUCUUUAAUUUCUGGAAUCCUUCAUAUUGCUCCUGUUGUUAUUCUUGUGCGGCUACUGAGGUAAAUCAACAUUAUUUGAGGGACUGGCUUGCAACAGUGAUGUAACUUUUGUAGAGGGACUUGCUUGCAACGGCAAUGUAACUUUUGUGACCUAACGACGAAGAGGGACUUGCCAGCAACAUGAAUAUAGCUUUUUCUGCGUCUUAAUCACAACAAAGACUUGCUUACAGUGAGGAUAGACCCUUUUGUGGUAUCCCCUUAUGUGUCUUUCUCACUUUUCAUAUGAUUAAAGAUAAUGCGGAGUGAGAAAGACACAUAAGGGCUAUUAUAUCUUCGUUGCAGGCAAGUCCCUCUUUGUGUUAGUGUUUAUUAAAUGAAUUGAAUUGUAUUUCUUUGAAUUUUAUUCAAUUUUGGAGAAAGAAAAUUGUUUAAGCUAUCUGAGUUUGAGGAAGAAGAAGGGUGGAGUUCAUG